rnacentral:rRNA from 1 species
GGGUUGUGAGGUUAAGCGACUAAGCGUACACGGUGGAUGCCCUGGCAGUCAGAGGCGAUGAAGGACGUGCUAAUCUGCGAUAAGCGUCGGUAAGGUGAUAUGAACCGUUAUAACCGGCGAUUUCCGAAUGGGGAAACCCAGUGUGAUUCGUCACACUAUCAUUAACUGAAUCCAUAGGUUAAUGAGGCGAACCGGGGGAACUGAAACAUCUAAGUACCCCGAGGAAAAGAAAUCAACCGAGAUUCCCCCAGUAGCGGCGAGCGAACGGGGAGCAGCCCAGAGCCUGAAUCAGUGUGUGUGUUAGUGGAAGCGUCUGGAAAGGCGCGCGAUACAGGGUGACAGCCCCGUACACAAAAAUGCACAUGCUGUGAGCUCGAUGAGUAGGGCGGGACACGUGGUAUCCUGUCUGAAUAUGGGGGGACCAUCCUCCAAGGCUAAAUACUCCUGACUGACCGAUAGUGAACCAGUACCGUGAGGGAAAGGCGAAAAGAACCCCGGCGAGGGGAGUGAAAAAGAACCUGAAACCGUGUACGUACAAGCAGUGGGAGCACAGAGCAAUCUGUGUGACUGCGUACCUUUUGUAUAAUGGGUCAGCGACUUAUAUUCUGUAGCAAGGUUAACCGAAUAGGGGAGCCGAAGGGAAACCGAGUCUUAACUGGGCGUUAAGUUGCAGGGUAUAGACCCGAAACCCGGUGAUCUAGCCAUGGGCAGGUUGAAGGUUGGGUAACACUAACUGGAGGACCGAACCGACUAAUGUUGAAAAAUUAGCGGAUGACUUGUGGCUGGGGGUGAAAGGCCAAUCAAACCGGGAGAUAGCUGGUUCUCCCCGAAAGCUAUUUAGGUAGCGCCUCGUGAAUUCAUCUCCGGGGGUAGAGCACUGUUUCGGCAAGGGGGUCAUCCCGACUUACCAACCCGAUGCAAACUGCGAAUACCGGAGAAUGUUAUCACGGGAGACACACGGCGGGUGCUAACGUCCGUCGUGAAGAGGGAAACAACCCAGACCGCCAGCUAAGGUCCCAAAGUCAUGGUUAAGUGGGAAACGAUGUGGGAAGGCCCAGACAGCCAGGAUGUUGGCUUAGAAGCAGCCAUCAUUUAAAGAAAGCGUAAUAGCUCACUGGUCGAGUCGGCCUGCGCGGAAGAUGUAACGGGGCUAAACCAUGCACCGAAGCUGCGGCAGCGACACUGUGUGUUGUUGGGUAGGGGAGCGUUCUGUAAGCCUGCGAAGGUGUGCUGUGAGGCAUGCUGGAGGUAUCAGAAGUGCGAAUGCUGACAUAAGUAACGAUAAAGCGGGUGAAAAGCCCGCUCGCCGGAAGACCAAGGGUUCCUGUCCAACGUUAAUCGGGGCAGGGUGAGUCGACCCCUAAGGCGAGGCCGAAAGGCGUAGUCGAUGGGAAACAGGUUAAUAUUCCUGUACUUGGUGUUACUGCGAAGGGGGGACGGAGAAGGCUAUGUUGGCCGGGCGACGGUUGUCCCGGUUUAAGCGUGUAGGCUGGUUUUCCAGGCAAAUCCGGAAAAUCAAGGCUGAGGCGUGAUGACGAGGCACUACGGUGCUGAAGCAACAAAUGCCCUGCUUCCAGGAAAAGCCUCUAAGCAUCAGGUAACAUCAAAUCGUACCCCAAACCGACACAGGUGGUCAGGUAGAGAAUACCAAGGCGCUUGAGAGAACUCGGGUGAAGGAACUAGGCAAAAUGGUGCCGUAACUUCGGGAGAAGGCACGCUGAUAUGUAGGUGAAGUCCCUCGCGGAUGGAGCUGAAAUCAGUCGAAGAUACCAGCUGGCUGCAACUGUUUAUUAAAAACACAGCACUGUGCAAACACGAAAGUGGACGUAUACGGUGUGACGCCUGCCCGGUGCCGGAAGGUUAAUUGAUGGGGUCAGCGCAAGCGAAGCUCUUGAUCGAAGCCCCGGUAAACGGCGGCCGUAACUAUAACGGUCCUAAGGUAGCGAAAUUCCUUGUCGGGUAAGUUCCGACCUGCACGAAUGGCGUAAUGAUGGCCAGGCUGUCUCCACCCGAGACUCAGUGAAAUUGAACUCGCUGUGAAGAUGCAGUGUACCCGCGGCAAGACGGAAAGACCCCGUGAACCUUUACUAUAGCUUGACACUGAACAUUGAGCCUUGAUGUGUAGGAUAGGUGGGAGGCUUUGAAGUGUGGACGCCAGUCUGCAUGGAGCCGACCUUGAAAUACCACCCUUUAAUGUUUGAUGUUCUAACGUUGACCCGUAAUCCGGGUUGCGGACAGUGUCUGGUGGGUAGUUUGACUGGGGCGGUCUCCUCCUAAAGAGUAACGGAGGAGCACGAAGGUUGGCUAAUCCUGGUCGGACAUCAGGAGGUUAGUGCAAUGGCAUAAGCCAGCUUGACUGCGAGCGUGACGGCGCGAGCAGGUGCGAAAGCAGGUCAUAGUGAUCCGGUGGUUCUGAAUGGAAGGGCCAUCGCUCAACGGAUAAAAGGUACUCCGGGGAUAACAGGCUGAUACCGCCCAAGAGUUCAUAUCGACGGCGGUGUUUGGCACCUCGAUGUCGGCUCAUCACAUCCUGGGGCUGAAGUAGGUCCCAAGGGUAUGGCUGUUCGCCAUUUAAAGUGGUACGCGAGCUGGGUUUAGAACGUCGUGAGACAGUUCGGUCCCUAUCUGCCGUGGGCGCUGGAGAACUGAGGGGGGCUGCUCCUAGUACGAGAGGACCGGAGUGGACGCAUCACUGGUGUUCGGGUUGUCAUGCCAAUGGCACUGCCCGGUAGCUAAAUGCGGAAGAGAUAAGUGCUGAAAGCAUCUAAGCACGAAACUUGCCCCGAGAUGAGUUCUCCCUGACUCCUUGAGAGUCCUGAAGGAACGUUGAAGACGACGACGUUGAUAGGCCGGGUGUGUAAGCGCAGCGAUGCGUUGAGCUAACCGGUACUAAUGAACCGUGAGGCUUAACCUUACAACGCCGAAG